rnacentral:rRNA from 1 species
UACGAAGGGGGCUAGCGUUGCUCGGAAUUACUGGGCGUAAAGGGAGCGUAGGUGGACUGUUUAGUCAGAGGUGAAAGCCCAGGGCUCAACCUUGGAAUUGCCUUUGAUACUGGCAGUCUUGAGUACGGAAGAGGUAUGUGGAACUCCGAGUGUAGAGGUGAAAUUCGUAGAUAUUCGGAAGAACACCAGUGGCGAAGGCGACAUACUGGUCCGUUACUGACACUGAGGCUCGAAAGCGUGGGGAGCAAACAGG